GACGAACGCUGGCGGCGUGCUUAACACAUGCAAGUCGAACGGAAAGGCCCUGCUUUUGUGGGGUGCUCGAGUGGCGAACGGGUGAGUAACACGUGAGUAACCUGCCCUUGACUUUGGGAUAACUUCAGGAAACUGGGGCUAAUACCGGAUAGGAGCUCCUGCUGCAUGGUGGGGGUUGGAAAGUUUCGGCGGUUGGGGAUGGACUCGCGGCUUAUCAGCUUGUUGGUGGGGUAGUGGCUUACCAAGGCUUUGACGGGUAGCCGGCCUGAGAGGGUGACCGGCCACAUUGGGACUGAGAUACGGCCCAGACUCCUACGGGAGGCAGCAGUGGAGAAUAUUGCACAAUGGGCGGAAGCCUGAUGCAGCAACGCCGCGUGCGGGAUGACGGCCUUCGGGUUGUAAACCUCUUUCGCCUGUGACGAAGAGUGAGUGACGGUAAUGGGUAAAGAAGCACCGGCUAACUACGUG
rnacentral:rRNA from 1 species